rnacentral:rRNA from 1 species
GGAGSGUKMARAGCGUUGUCCGGAUUUAUUGGGUUUAAAGGGUGCGUAGGUGGCUUUUUAAGUCAGUGGUGAAAUACAGCCGCUCAACGGUUGAGGUGCCAUUGAUACUGAAGAGCUUGAAACAAGUGGAGGCUGCCGGAAUGGAUGGUGUAGCGGUGAAAUGCAUAGAUAUCAUCCAGAACACCGAUUGCGAAGGCAGGUGGCUACGUUUGAUUUGACACUGAGGCACGAAAGCAUGGGGAGCAAACAGGAUUAGAUACCCUGGUAGUCCAUGCCGUAAACGAUGAGGACUCGCUGUUGGCCUGUCAAGGGUCAGCGGCUUAGGGAAACCGUUAAGUCCUCCACCUGGGGAGUACGCCGGCAACGGUG